rnacentral:rRNA from 1 species
AUUGAACGCUGGCGGCAGGCCUAACACAUGCAAGUCGAGCGGAUGAAGGGAGCUUGCUCCUUGAUUCAGCGGCGGACGGGUGAGUAAUGCCUAGGAAUCUGCCUGGUUGUGUGUUAUUACGUCAUGACAUGGGGGCUAAUACCGCAUAAGUCCAGAGGGCGUAAGUGGGGGAUCUUCGGACCUCACGCCAUUAGGUGAGCCUAGGUGGGAUUAGCUAGUUGGUGGGGUAAAGGCCUACCAAGGCGACGAUCCGUCACUGGUCUGAGAGGAUGAUCAGUCACACUGGAACUGAGACACGGUCCAAGCUCCUACGGGAGGCAGCAGUGGGGAAUAUUGGACAAUGGGCGAAAGCCUGAUCCAAGCAUGACGCGUGUGGGAAGAAGGUCUUCGGAUUUUAAAGCACUUUAAGUUGGGAGGAAGGGCAGUAAGUUAAUACCUUGCUGUUUUGACGUUACCAACAGAAUAAGCACCGGCUAACUUCGUG